GACGAACGCUGGCGGCGUGCUUAACACAUGCAAGUCGAACGAAGUGGCGAACGGGUGAGUAACGCGUAAUCAACCUGCCCUUCAGAGGGGGACAACAGUUGGAAACGACUACUAAUACCGCAUACUGAAGGAUGGGAUUGCGUCUGAUUAGCUAGUUGGAGGGGGAACGGCCCACCAAGGCGAUGAUCAGUAACCGGUCUGGGAGGAUGAACGGCCACAUUGGGACUUGGACACCGGCCAGACUCCUACGGGAGGCAGCAGUGGGGAAUCAUCGGCAAUGGACGGAAGUCUGACGGAGCAACGGCGCGUGAGUGAUGAAGGGCUUGGGGGUGUAAAGCUAUGUUAAGCGGGAAGCGGUACCGGAAGAGAAAGCCACGGCUAACUACGUGCCAGCCGCCGCGGUAAUUC
rnacentral:rRNA from 1 species